CGUUUGACGCAGGGAGUCCGGUGCACGGGGUAAGCCUGUGUACCGUGAGGGAGACAACCCAGAGCUGGGUUAAGGUCCCCAAGUGUAGAUUAAGUGCGAUCGAAGGUGGUCUCAAGCCCUAGACAGCCGGGAGGUGAGCUUAGAAGCAGCUACCCUCUAAGAAAAGCGUAACAGCUUACCGGCCGAGGUUUGAGGCGCCCAAAAUGAUCGGGGCUCAAAUCUACCACCGAGACCUAGCAGUGCGGUUUACACCGCAAUCUUGUAGGUUGGCGUUCUGUUCGGGUGGAAGCACGGGUGAGAACUCGUGUGGACCGUUCAGUAACGAAAAUCCUGGUCAUAGUAGCAGCGUUAGUCGGGUUAGAACCCCGACGGCCGAACGAGUAAGGGUUCCUCAGCAAUGCUGAUCAGCUGAGGGUUAGCCGGUCCUAAGUCUGCCCGUAAGUCGACGCAGACAACAGGGAAAUAGGUUAAUAUUCCUAUGCCAGUGUGCACUCAAAGCUGACGCUUUGGGGCCGCCUGAGCUGGGCUUUCGCCCAGUCGAACUGUCGAAGAGCGUGGAAGCCGUAAUGGCACGAAGCGUUCGAAUGGCAGGAUCGCGCAAGUCAGGUCUACCCAGAGCCCGUGAAAAAGCGAGCACACUGUCCGUACCGAGAUCCGACACAGGUACUCAUGGCGGCGAAAGCCAAGGUCUGUCGGGAUCAACCGACGUUAGGGAAUUCGGCAAGUUAGUCCCGUACGUUCGCAAUAAGGGAUGCCUGCCUCGCGAAGAGGCAGGUCGCAGUGACUCGGGCGCUCCGACUGUCUAGUAACAACAUAGGUGACCGCAAAUCCGCAAGGACUCGUACGGUCACUGAAUCCUGCCCAGUGCAGGUAUCUGAACACCCCGUACAAGGGGACGAAGGACCUGUUAACGGCGGGGGUAACUAUGACCCUCUUAAGGUAGCGUAGUACCUUGCCGCUUCAGUAGCGGCUUGCAUGAAUGGAUCAACGAGAGCGCCACUGUCCCAACGUUGGGCCCGGUGAACUGUACGUUCCAGUGCGGAGUCUGGAGACCCCCAAGGGGAAGCGAAGACCCUAUAGAGCUUUACUGCAGGCUGUCACUGAGACGUGGUCGCCAUUGUGCAGCAUAGGUAGGAGGCGUUACACAGGUAGCCGCGCUAGCGGCCCACCGAGCCAGCAUUGAAAUACUACCCGAUGGUGACUGCGACUCUCACUCCUGGCGGAGGACACUGGUAGCCGGGCAGUUUGACUGGGGCGGUACGCGCCUGAAAAGAUAUCGGGCGCGCCCCAAGAUUUCCUCACUCGGGUCGGAGACCCGAGGAAGAGCGCAAGAGCAAAAGGAAGUCUGACAGUGUCCGGCACAACGACGGACGCUGACGCGAAAGCGUGGUCUAGCGAACCAAUUAGGCUGCUUGAUGCGGCCAAUUGCUGACAGAAAAGCUACCUUAGGGAUAACAGAGUCGUCACUCGCAAGAGCACAUAUCGACCGAGUGGCUUGCUACCUCGAUGUCGGUUCCCUCCAUCCUGCCCGUGCAGAAGCGGGCAAGGGUGAGGUUGUUCGCCUAUUAAAGGAGGUCGUGAGCUGGGUUUAGACCGUCGUGAGACAGGUCGGCUGCUAUCUAUUGGGGGUGUUACGGUAUCUGACGGGAACGUUCGUAUAGUACGAGAGGAACUACGAAUGGGUGCCACUCGUGUACCAGCUGUCCGGAAGGGCACGUGCUGGGCAGCGACGCACCACGGGGUAAGAGCUGAACGCAUCUAAGCUCGAAACCCACCUGAAAAAGAGAUACCACUGAGAUCACUCGUAGAAGACGAGUUCGAUAGACUCGGGGUGUACGCACCAAGGCAACGAGGUGUUGAGCCCGCGAGCACUAAUCGAUCGAGCCACACAUUCA
rnacentral:rRNA from 1 species